rnacentral:rRNA from 1 species
GACAGAGGGGGCAAGCGUUGCUCGGAAUCACUGGGCGUAAAGGGCGCGUAGGCGGGAUGGCAAGUCGGUCGUGAAAGCCUUCGGCUCAACCGAAGAACGUCGGCCGAUACUGCCGUUCUUGAGGGAUGCAGAGGAGACUGGAAUUCCCGGUGUAGCGGUGAAAUGUGUAGAGAUCGGGAGGAACAUCAGUGGCGAAGGCGGCCAUCUGGGACAACACUGACGCUGAGGCACGAAAGCGUGGGGAGCAAACAGG